CAAACAGGCAGUCAGUGAAUGAGGUUCAGCUGAGAAGUCUAUCUGGCUCGUGAGCUCUAGCUCUGGUGGCAGUUCAGGUGUAGCUGUCCAGUGGACAAAUGGUAAUAAAGACAAAAAGAAGAGGAGGAAAAUAGAAAAAUCUUUACACAGCGGUCUGCCAUGUUUAUUGCUAAAUGAGUCCUUAACAGUAACUGAACUCGUGAUACACAGAUGUAGAGGAUGUAGAGAAUUCACACAGACAUAGAAGAGGUAACCAAAAGGUCACCGUAGCCACCAGAUCCAGUCUGUAUCCAAGUCAGAGGGUCACUGCAGUCACCCGGAUCCAG
ensembl:lncRNA